rnacentral:lncRNA from 1 species
AUUCAGACUUCAAAAGCAUGUGCCCUAAUUUUUUUUUCUCUCUCUCUCGCUCUCCUUCAAGACGCUCAACCCUCCACCGCCAUUGAAUCGAUCUUCAAUAAUCCAUUUUUCCUUUUAACUUGCCAACUUCAAGUCUCCAAUUAUCCAUUAAUUUUGUGGUUCUGCAAUUUAAGCUUUGCAAAGUUCGAUGUCUAGUUUGGGAAGAAAGGCAUUCCGUAUCUCAACACCUAUGAUGGAAAGACAAUUCGCUAUCCAGACCCAUUCAUCAAGGGAAAUGACAUGAUCAAACUCAACCUCGAGUCGAACAAAAUUGUUGACUUCAUCAAGUUUGAUGUUGGCAAUGUUGUGAUGGUGACCGAUGGAAGGAACAGGGGACGUGUUGGAGUGAUCAAGAACCGUGAGAAGCACAAGGGAAGCUUUGAAACUAUCCACAUCUAGGAUGCUCUUGGGCGCAAGUUUGCUACCCGUGUGGACAAUGUGUUCGCUAUUGAAAAAGGUACAAAGCAAUAUGUUCGCUAUUUUUUUAUAGUUUUGACUUAUUUAUUAUGUUCUCCAAUUUUGUUUAAUUGAUUUGGAUAUCUGUGUGACCAUUUUUAUUGAUUUUAGGUUUUGGUUCUAUGCAGUUUUAGUUUGUUUAAUGUAAAUUUUUUUCAUCCAAUUUGUCACAACUUUCCCUACAUGGAAAUUAUCCAAAAAUCCUCCUUA